rnacentral:rRNA from 1 species
GUGAGGAAUAUUGGUCAAUGGGCGGGAGCCUGAACCAGCCAAGUCGCGUGAAGGAAGAAGGAUCUAUGGUUCGUAAACUUCUUUUGCAGGGGAAUAAAGUGCAGGACGUGUCCUGUUUUGUAUGUACCCUGAGAAUAAGGAUCGGCUAACUCCGUGCCAGCAGCCGCGGUAAUACGGAGGAUCCGAGCGUUAUCCGGAUUUAUUGGGUUUAAAGGGUGCGUAGGUGGUUUGAUAAGUCAGCGGUGAAAGUUUGCAGCUUAACUGUAAAAAUGCCGUUGAAACUGUCGGACUUGAGUGUAAAUGAGGUAGGCGGAAUGCGUGGUGUAGCGGUGAAAUGCAUAGAUAUCACGCAGAACUCCGAUUGCGAAGGCAGCUUACUAAGCUACAACUGACACUGAAGCACGAAAGCGUGGGGAUCAAACAGGAUUGGAUACCCCGGUAGUCC